UCAGAGGAAGGAGAGGUCAACGGUAGGUCAGUAUGCCCGAAUCUCCCGGGCUACACGCGCGCUACAAAGGAUAGGACAAUGGGAUGCAAUACCGAGACGGUAACGCGAACCCGAAACCUAUUCGUAGUUCGAACUGAGGGCUGUAACUCGCCCUCACGAAGCUGGAUUCCGUAGUAAUCGCGGGUCAACAUCCCGCGGUGAAUAUGCCCCUGCUCUUU
rnacentral:rRNA from 1 species